rnacentral:rRNA from 1 species
CGGGUGAGUAACACGUAAACAACCUGCCUUCAGGAUGGGGACAACAGACGGAAACGACUGCUAAUACCAAAUAAGUUCCAAGGGCCGCAUGGCCCAUGGAAGAAAAGGUGGCCUCUACCUGUAAGCUAUCGCCUGAAGAGGGGUUUGCGUCUGAUUAGCUGGUUGGAGGGGUAACGGCCCACCAAGGCGACGAUUGGUAGCCGGACUGAGAGGUUGAACGGCCACAUUGGGACUGAGACACGGCCCAG